rnacentral:rRNA from 1 species
GACGAACGCUGGCGGCGUGCUUAACACAUGCAAGUCGAACGGAAAGGCCCUGCUUUUGUGGGGUGCUCGAGUGGCGAACGGGUGAGUAACACGUGAGUAACCUGCCCUUGACUUUGGGAUAACUUCAGGAAACUGGGGCUAAUACCGGAUAGGAGCUCCUGCUGCAUGGUGGGGGUUGGAAAGUUUCGGCGGUUGGGGAUGGACUCGCGGCUUAUCAGCUUGUUGGUGGGGUAGUGGCUUACCAAGGCUUUGACGGGUAGCCGGCCUGAGAGGGUGACCGGCCACAUUGGGACUGAGAUACGGCCCAGACUCCUACGGGAGGCAGCAGUGGGGAAUAUUGCACAAUGGGCGGAAGCCUGAUGCAGCACGCCGCGUGCGGGAUGACGGCCUUCGGGUUGUAAACCGCUUUCGCCUGUGACGAAGCGUGAGUGACGGUAAUGGGUAAAGAAGCACCGGCUAACUACGUG